CGCUCAGGCGCUUCCUCCCGCUGCCACAAUUUGUACCAACACCGGACACCCCUGAAACCCCCGCGUGGUUCAGUCCGCUCUCUCUAGAAACUUCCCUAGGAAUCAUCCAAAACACAAAGCUGCGGGGGAACUGUUUGAUGAAGAAGGAAUACUGACAGUGAUGAAUAGAAGACCAUAACUCCACUGAGAUAAUGAGAAGGUCAAAGCUGAACAGCCAGUUAUUGGAGAUCAUUCGUUUCUGGAAUGAGCUGUCUAUUUUGACGAGUUCCCAAGAAUGUACCCUGUUUUGGUUUGUCAUUUAGUUUUUAUUUUUCAAAAUAUUUUAUUUUUUUACAAAUAAAUACACAAAUACACAUAAAUACACAAAAAUUAAGAUUAUAGCUGGAGAAAUCUGUAGCCCUGGAUAAUUUGUUUUUCCAAUAAGUCACUAUGAAAGUCAUUAAGGAAAUCUUCCACUACAACAUCACCGGGCAGGGUGAUCCAUAACUUCUCUGCCGUGAAGAUUCAUUUACUUCCGGUGAAAAUUCUGUUACUUGAGUCUUUAGGGUUGGCCUUAUGUUCUUGUGUGACCUCUACCUCUCCAUCCUUUAGGUGAAUCAUAAUCAGUUUACCGAGCCAAGUCAUGCAAGAAAUAAUAAUAACAGAAUACAAUCUCCUACUUAGGAUUGUACAUUUCAAAAAUAAACAUAGAAAAUUAUUUUACUUUACUUUACAUUAUUGAAUAAUCGCGUAAUAAAAGCACAAAAUGUUUCAACCAAAAAA